GGAUAUUAUGAUGUUACGGCUGCAGUAUCUGUCAUCCCAUUGACCUCCGGGGUUAAUUUGACCGCUCUACACAGCCAGGUGGGUGUUACCUUUCCUCUUGCACCACCCCGUGUGUCUCUUUCCCAAGGCCAAUUGCCUAUCUGGAACAGAUAACCUUCCCUACUAGGGGAGGACCUUUCUAUCAUCCAUAAAGGGUAAGUGUGCUCUCCUGCUAGAAACCCCAAAGAGACCCUCAGGAAAUGGACUGAGCCAUGCUAACAUUAAGUGGUGGGCAGCUGUAUCAUGCUAGUUCCUAUUGCUAUUACAUUAAUUAAUGCUCUAACCAAAUAAGAAUUACAUU
rnacentral:snRNA from 1 species